rnacentral:rRNA from 1 species
UGAGGAAUAUUGCGCAAUGAGCGAAAGCUAGACGCAGCAACGCCGCGUGGACGAUGAAGGCCUUCGGGUCGUAAAGUCCUUUUCAGGGGGACGAGUGAGGACGGUACCCCUGGAAUAAGUCACGGCUAACUACGUGCCAGCAGCCGCGGUAAAACGUAGGUGGCGAGCGUUAUCCGGAUUCACUGGGCGUAAAGCGCCUGCAGGUGGUCUCGUAAGUGGGGUGUGAAAUCUCCUGGCUUAACUGGGAGGGGCCAUUCCAUACUGCGGGACUGGAGGGCAGAAGAGGGAAGUGGAAUUCCCGGUGUAGUGGUGAAAUGCGUAGAUAUCGGGAGGAACACCAGUGGCGAAGGCGACUUCCUGGUCUGCUCCUGACGCUAAGAGGCGAAAGCUAGGGGAGCGAACGGGAUUAGAAACCCCGGUAGUCCUAGCCAUAAACGAUGGAUACUAGGUGUUGGUGGUCCUAACCCCAUCAGUGCCGAAGCUAACGCGUUAAGUAUCCCGCCUGGGGACUACGGCCGCAAGGUUA